UGUUAAAAUUUUCAUCUAUUUCUAUUGUUAAAACUUGGUGUAGUCGAGGAAUAAUCAAACAGUUACAUAUGUAUACCUUUUAUUGAUGUACAAAGACUAGUUUUAACAAUAGAAAUAGAUGAAAUUUUAAUA
rfam:Gossypium arboreum cultivar AKA8401 contig_15772_3, whole genome shotgun sequence.